rnacentral:tRNA from 1 species
UUUAGGAUCCUAUAAAAUAGAAUUAGUCUAUAAGUAGCUAAGUGGUUGAAUCUAAUUACUUUGUGAUUUUA